AAAUGCAAUAUAAGCCACAAUUUGGAAAAGGAAAGCAUGAGAAGCACACUACAGAGACUGAUCUAGAGAAGUUAUCACUGUGCUGGGUGGGAGUCAUUCAUCUGUCUGCUCUGGGAGAUUCACAUGAAGUCCCAGGAUAGCUUCUGUCGGCUUUGGUGGCCUGUUGCAGCAGCCAGCAGCAGGAAACUUGAGGAGCUAUCAUCUCAGGAAUGAACGGGGCCACAUCAAUAAGGAGACCUGUAAUGAUGUGGCUCUAAAUGUCAGCUUUAAAAGCCUGGGAAUUGAUAGAGGAAGAGAGAAGAAAGGGUGUCCCAGUUUUCCACAUGCCGAAUGAUUCAGCAAAAUAAUGUGAGCAAGUCAAGACUCUGGAAAAUAUUUUUAGAUGCC
rnacentral:lncRNA from 1 species